rnacentral:lncRNA from 1 species
CUUGUGGAUGUUAUUGUGUUAUGGUAUGAGAAGGGAGGUCUUCUAUUUAUAGAUGUCAAAAAUCUUACCUCUAAGAAAGAGGUUAGCCAAAUAUAAAAAAGAAUUAUAUUUUUUUCUUUCAGGAAAAGUAAAAGUAAUUAUGGUAACUUUUAUUUUCCUUCUAAGAAAAAAUAAAACUUAAAUAUAGUAAGAAAAUCAGAGCAAAAACCCUAACAAAUCUCCUCUUUUUGGCUUGAUUUUCUUCACUUGAUCCACCUUCUUCUUGUGCAUGAUCUUCGUUCUUCAUAUAUAUUCUUCAUAUAUCACUGCUGUUUGACAUGCUUUAAAAAUUGAGCUUUUGGGUUAAAAGUAUAUGAGCCUUUUUGGGGUUAAAAAUAUUGGAGCCCUUUUGCAGGAUUAAAAGUGAGCUUUAUUUUCAAAUAUGUGACAGCAGGAUUGUUGAAAAUAUGAUUAACAAUUAUCUCCACAUAUAGCUUUUAGACAUAUAUCUUGAUUAUCAUCAAAUUUAUUGCAACUUUGUUCAACAAUUGGACCAUCAAUUUAUUAAAUCGUGGGCUCUGAUACCACUCGUUGGGUUCGAAAUCGAGAGGACGUCAUGCGGAAACUAUUAGUUGCAAACUAUCGUAGUGAUAAUUCAAACGACAAAGAUAACAUACUAAAAAACAUAUUAUUGAUGUAAUUUGAUCAAGUGACCUACAUAUUGAAAACUAAUAUCAAAAAACAUUAAAAACUAUUGGGAGAAAAUCUCCCCUAAACGAGACUCUUUAAACGACUACAUUGUGGA